AACCUGUCUACUGGUGGCAUGCCUGUACACACACUCGCAGAAUGUCUCUGUACUAGUCCAGUUGCUACCCAUACACUCGCUCACCACUCCCUGCUUCAUUACAAACACAAUGGGUGAGCAGAUAGCGUGGUGGACGAGGUGGGCGUGGCUGUGUGUAUUGGUUGGCGAGCGCUGUGUAGUGGGCGUCUGUGUACCCCAGGACGGAAAGACAGUUUUCUUCACGAAAGGUGACGCCGUUAUUACUCAGCUUCUGCCUCUUCACUAUGGAUCUCGCUGUGACCAGCUGGGCAUGACGGAGGUGCAGGUGCUGGAGGCGACGAAACUGGCAGUACACAGAGUCAACCAACUCACUCUCGUACCCGGAAUCAAACUAGGUCAGUGAUUUCUUUUUUUUUUUUUUU